AACGAACGCUGGCGGCGUGCCUGAGACAUGCAAGUCGUGGGAGAAUGUCGGGGCAACCCGACUAGUAAACCGGCGCACGGGUGAGUAACACGUGGGUAACCUGCCUUGGAGUUCGGGAUAACCCGUCGAAAGACGGGCUAAUACCGGGUAAGACCACGAAGGGUUCGCCCUUCGGGGUAAAAGGUGGCCUCUGCUCUUGCAAGCUAUCGCUCCAAGAGGGGUCCGCGGCCUAUCAGCUAGUUGGCGGGGUAAUGGCCCACCAAGGCUAAGACGGGUAGCUGGUCUGAGAGGAUGGUCAGCCACACUGGGACUGAGACACGGCCCAGAGUCCUACGGGAUGCAGCAGUCAGGAAUAUUGCGCAAUGGGGGAAACCCUGACGCAGCGACGCCGCGUGGGUGAUGAAGGCCUUCGGGUCGUAAAGCCCUGUCGGAGGGGAAGAAAAGCUCGCUGGCUAAUAUCCAGCGAGCCCUUGACGGUACCCUCAAAGGAAGCACCGGCUAACUCCGUGCCAGCAGCCGCGGUAAGACGGAGGGUGCAAGCGUUGUUCGGACUGACUGGGCGUAAAGGGCGUGUAGGCGGUUGGUUAAGUCUGGUGUGAAAGCCCGGGGCUCAGCUUCGGAAGUGCACCGGAAACUGGCCGGCUGGAGCGCGGUAGAGGAGGGUGGAAUUCCUGGUGUAGCGGUGAAAUGCGUAGAUAUCAGGAGGAACACCGGUGGCGAAGGCGGCCCUCUGGACCGUUGCUGACGCUGAGACG
rnacentral:rRNA from 1 species